GAGAGAGAGAGAGAGAGAUCUGUGUCAUAUUUGAAAGAAUAAAGAAGUUCACCUAGCAAGAGUAGAAGACGCAAAAUCAGACAAAGGAGUCACUACAAGUAAAAUCGAGUCACAAAAAGUUCAUUGUAAAUGAAGAAACUUUGAGGAGGUUCCUUGAGUAAUAGUUGUGCUUGUGGGUGACGUCAACAUUCCUAUAGUUGUGCUGGAGGGACCUGAAGGUUCAUGGAAGGUCAUCACAAUGGAGAUAAGUAAAGUGGACGAUGCAUGCAAAAUGGACAAUGAUACUCACUAGGUUUGGUGGAUGAAGUCCUCUCCAUACUGGCAACACUAGGUGAAGGGAAGUUUGUCAAGUGUUCCAGUGGGAUGCCAACCCAAUUCUAACUGUGAGAAGAAAAGCAUAGUCAUCAAUGGAGCUUGAAAGGUAUUUCUCAUUACCCAAGAGUUUCAUUGCUUUUUAGUUAUGCUAGAAGUGAAAUCUUGGUUGGAGUAUGUGUAUGUGCUCUAUGUGUUGAAGUGGAAUGACUGGAGGAGGAUUUGUGUAGUUUAAGUGGGAUUGUAAUGUGGCUUGAGGUUUAGAUUUUUGGCAUUAGGUGUGUUCCAUGGGGCUACCUUGCUAAAAUAUAAUUAGGGAUAACCUUGGAUUUUAGCGAAGGUUCUUUUGGGAUGCAUAAU
rnacentral:misc_RNA from 1 species